UAUUCAUGAGCUUGACUGCCCAUAUUAUCCUCUAUUCCAGGCACCUUUCCAUUUUGUGUUCUUCGUGCAUUCUUAUCAGAAAUCCUACGUGCAGUAAAUAAGUCUCUGUAUCACUAUUCUCCUUCUUAUUUGUAUGCAGAUUUGGGUAUAAUGAUUGAUAACUGUAAUCAUCCUCAUUAUUUUAAUAAGAAAUUGUUCUUUCUGUGAUGGAAGUUUUUAUGUACGAUUGCCUGAUCUGAAGACAAGACUUUCGCUGCACGAUAUUUAAUAUAUGACGUCACCCACACAGAGUGAGCGUUCGAGGUUUUCUUUGAAAGUUUGAUGGAAAAUGUACAGAGAGACUUGUCGCAGUUAAUGCAGUACCAAAUGCUUGCUUUUUUGGAGUAUGUGCUUGAAACAAGAAUGUCCUGGAGAAAACAGACCACCACAAGAGAAGACAUACAUGUACAGUGUGGACUAUGAAGUUCUACUUAGCCUCUUCAAUGAACUGCUGGAGCUGCGACUGGGUAUCAAAACCUUGGUAUUAUAAACCUCAUAACCAGUGGCGGAGAUAUGUUGUUAGCCGGGGGGGGGGGGGGGG